rnacentral:rRNA from 1 species
UAACAUCCGGAAACGGGUGCUAAUACCGCAUAGUUUUCUUGGUCGCAUGAUCGGGAAAGGAAAGACGGCCUUUGUGCUGUCGCUUAUGGAUGGACCCGCGGCGUAUUAGUUAGUUGGUGAGGUAACGGCUCACCAAGACGAUGAUACGUAGCCGACCUGAGAGGGUGAUCGGCCACAUUGGGACUGAGACACGGCCCAAACUCCUACGGGAGGCAGCAGUAGGGAAUCUUCCGCAAUGGACGAAAGUCUGACGGAGCAACGCCGCGUGAGUGAAAGAAGGUUUUUCGGAUCGUAAAACUCUGUUGUCAGAGAAGAACAAGUUGGAGAGUAACUGCUCCAGCCUUGACGGUAUCUGACCAGAAAGCCACGGCUAACUACGUGCCAGCCGCCGC